CAGUCGCCACGGGAAUACGGAGGGUGCAAGCGUUAAUCGGAAUUACUGGGCGUAAAGCGCACGCAGGCGGUCUGUCAAGUCAGAUGUGAAAUCCCCGGGCUUAACCUGGGAACUGCAUUUGAAACUGGCAGGCUAGAGUCUUGUAGAGGGGGGUAGAAUUCCAGGUGUAGCGGUGAAAUGCGUAGAGAUCUGGAGGAAUACCGGUGACGAAGGCGGCCCCCUGGACAAAGACUGACGCUCAGGUGCGAAAGCGUGGGGAGCAAACAGGAUUAGAUACCCGCGUAGUCCCUGUCUCUUAUAC
rnacentral:rRNA from 1 species